UACAGAGGGUGCGAGCGUUAAUCGGAAUUACUGGGCGUAAAGCGCGCGUAGGCGGCUUUGCAAGUCGGGUGUGAAAUCCCCAGGCUUAACCUGGGAACGGCAUUCGAGACUGCAUUGCUAGAGUAUGGGAGAGGGAAGUGGAAUUUCAGGUGUAGCGGUGAAAUGCGUAGAUAUCUGAAGGAACAUCAGUGGCGAAAGCGACUUCCUGGACCAAUACUGACGCUCAUGUGCGAAAGCGUGGGGAGCAAACAGG
rnacentral:rRNA from 1 species